AUGCACUGCUUAGAAAGCAUGAGGGACACAGUCUAUCCAGUAGGAGAUCACAUAGACCCUCCCUUUGUGCCAGCUCCAUUUGCUCUCCCAAAGCAGGGUGAUUCCAUGAUAUAUCUGGGAGUCUCCAAUUAUCUUCUUAAAUCUGCUUCACUGGCUGACUACAGAGCAGGGCCUUUAACAUCACUAUCUCCCAAGAGGUGAGUAUGAUUUGCCUGUAACAGAAUUACAAAUAUUUGCAAGAUGGAUAGUCAGUGAAGAAGACUAACACCUUGUGUUUGCCAUUUCACAUAGAUUUGGGUCAUACUUGUAGCAGUUUUAAGAAGGAUUCAUGAUGUUCAGUUUAUCAUAAUUUAAAGUAGUCAAAGUCCCUCUCAGUCUUCAGUCUGAACUUCUCAGCAGUUCUAGGCAAAGAACUGCAGAAUGAACAUCAGAGUUGGUGUGCCAGGAGUGGCAAAAGGAAUCUAAAAAAACUUUUCUCAGCUGGAUCCCACAUACAAAAAGGGUAAGACAAGAAAAAGCCUACUGAAGCCCCCAUCUGCUGCACAGUGGCCCAUGAAAAAUGUAUUGGCUAUGUUGAGAACUAGGAUAAAUCCUCAAACUUAACAAAGCAGCAGAAUGAGGCAAGAAGCAGGUACAAGCAAAUUAAGCUUUCCACUGAAGAAUGUGUUCCAUGAAGAACACACAAGACCUCUCAGAAAUGGCAGUUUUCCACAGUGGCAUUUGUAGUCAGAGUUUUCAGUAAGUUUUGCAAAUUGUAACAACGCUAAGAGGGGUCUUUAUGAAAACUGGUGACACAAAUGGUACUAGUAAACAUCAUCACAGUGGUUAGCAGCAAAAAGGCAAAUGAGAUUUCUGAGUCCGUGCCACUCACAUAUUCAGCAUAUCUCAUCCUAGAAAGUCUCAAAGGCCGAAGUCACGUCUGUCCUUUUGAAGAAUAAUGCUUGUUUACUGGUACAUGCUCCUGAAUCAAGUCUGUGAGAAAUCUCUCUUCUGUCCCAGAGAGCACUGUGGGUUCCUUAGAAAUCAAUCUGGGGCAAGAAAAUACUAAAUCAAAACAUGUAUUAUCUAAAACUGCAGUAAACAGGAUGUGUUGGGGUUUUUUGCUCAAGGAAAACCUAAUUUUCAAACUGAUAAAUUUACCUAAUUUAUUUUGUUUACAGCUUAAUAGUACUUUUCAUCUAAACACUUCCCUAUCCAGACG
rnacentral:lncRNA from 1 species